rnacentral:lncRNA from 1 species
CGUGUCGCUCGUUUUUCAUGUGAUGGCGGAUUGUUGUCUUGUUGAGUGGUUGUCACAAGUUUUCCUAUUUUUCCAUGAAAAUUACCGAUGAAUUCAUAAGCGUGGUCCUCUCUGAUGUGGUUGUGAAUGGAUCGGGUUAUUUUCCAGUUUAUUUCAAUUUCUUCCUUGCGAAGACUCUACCCGUCAUCUAUUGAAAAAUAACGAAUCUGCACAUAAAUAACGAUGGCGCAUUGCCAACAAGUUUCAGCCAUUGAAAUCGUUGCAGACAGCAUGUUGCACGUCAUUUUGUUCUGGACUGGAGUCUGGAGGAAGUGAGUUUUCACUGAACACCGUGGAAUUCUCUAAAUUUAUUGAUCAUUGAUCAUUUGCCGACAAGCAACAAGGCAACAUGUGAUUAUUCUGAUCUUGCCAUGAACGGAAGAGAACACUUGGUGCAAGAUCAUAAUUUGAUGGUUAACUUAUGAAGAGAAGGUGAGGAGAAAAUAAUGAUCUUAUUCCUCCAACAACUAUGGCAGAUUUGUUCCCGGUUUACCCUCGCCGCUGUUCGAUAGACUUUAUCAAUUGGUGGGAAAUGACGAGUGGUUGGCCGCGCUGAAUUUCAAGAUCUAUAAAUUUUAUAUAAGUUUAUAAAUUACAAGUGCAUAUCUGGGCUCCCUUCUUCAGUGGCCCCGUUUCCCUAAAUAACCACUAACCAACGCCCGCCGGUGGUCACUCACUCGCUGCGACAACCAGGAGGAAGGGAGAUGUUUGGUCAAACAGGGACUUGCAAGGCGCAUGAUUCGAUGAAAUCUGUUGGAGGGUCAUGAGUCUAAGCCGGAAGCCUACUAUGAUGCAUUGCUCUCUUAAAAACUGUUCCUCGGCCCUCUUCGCUCUUUUUCCGGUUUCUCUUAACCAUGGGCGGGCAAUCUCCCUGGUCGAGUCAGUCGGGCAGUGUCUCCCCCUGCUUGACUGGCAGCAGUUUGAACCGGACGGUCUGUUAAAAUAAGAAUUUAAAUCUAGAACAACGCCUCCUUUGAGCGGCCCGGACAAUCCUGAAACCUUUAGGGUUGCCAUUCAAUCGAGGCUUAAACGAGAAUGACGCGGAGGUGUUGUCCAUUGAAGGGUUUUGGUGACAAGGAGUCAAUGAACGAAACGCUAAACCAAAUGAAAAAAAGAAAAUAUUAAAAAAGAUUUUCUUCUCCGACCGCAGGUGCAAGGAUUAUGUGUUUGAAACUUAGAAAAGUUUGCAGUAGAAUAUUUAAAAAAACCGACUGUCCUUCAAACGGUUCGAAAUGGAAGAUUUAUUCAUUCACCGAAGAAACGAGUCAAAUGACUCAAAUGUCAAAUGUGGUAUUUUUAAAGUGACUAAAAUUUAAGCCAUUAUCAUUUAUGAUUUGAUAUUUAUUUUGAUAUUGGUUUUUGUAGACCCAUCCCCAGCAACGUCAACCUGCAGAAAGAAAAAAGGCCGGUUUCUAUGACCUUGACGCUCGAAGGUCACGGAGAUCAUUACGUAAAACGUGUCAUGCAGUGGUAGAGGUUGGGUGAGAAACGAGAAUGACACGUGUUGCUUCAUUAUCAAAAAGACCCAUCCCCGGCAAAGUCACCUGCAGAAAAAAAGGCCAGUUUGCAUUUCAAUCGAAGGUCAUGGAUAUCAUUACGUAAAAGGUGUCAGGCAUUGGUGUAGAGGUUGGGUGAGAACGGGACGUUUUGCUUCAUUAUCAAAAAGGUAAAAUAGCCAUUAGGCUUAAGAGGAGGGGUGAGAAAAAAUUGUAUAAAAGGCGAGAGAAAAGUUGACAGGGAUCAGUCGAGUGAGCAUCUCCGACACGGUAACAACUCCAUAUUUCGUCGUAAUAUCAGUUCGCAAUCAUGGUUAAUUAUGGCAUUGUGUUGCUGUUGGGUGUUGUAUCGUUGAUGUCGACCACGAGAGAAAAUCUUUCAAAAGGAAAGAGAAAAGGCAACAGAAGUCCAUCGAGUGAGCAUCUCCGACCCGGCAACAACUGCAUUCUUCGUCGUAUUACCAGGUCGCAAUCACGGUUAACUAUGCCGUCAUGCUGCUAUUGGUUGUUGUAUCGUCGAUGUCUGGGUCGACCACUGGUGUACCGACGUCUCCUGGAUAAGGCGGAUACCAAACCGCAACGCCACCACCUUAUUACUCAACAACAUACGCAACGACCAGAUACUACACCGAGGUUGCACUGUUGGGUUUACAGUUAAAUCACCAAGGAUCGAGAUUAUUACACCACAACUUGUGCUGCUCCUCGAGCUACACUACCAAAGCGCUAGAGUACUACACCGAGGCACCUACUGAGACUACGCAACUACGUAUGCUGCCCCAACCUACGACACCGAGGCUCCAGCUUAUUACAUUACCAAAGCUGUCGAAUUCUACAUUGGAUCGCCCAAGUACGACAGAAAUCACCAACACGGCAGCCCCGAAGUUUCGAAUAAACUUCGUUUCAAACAGUGUAACGGCAAAGAGUGAAGGUGUUAAACGAAAAUCUUUUCCAAUCCCUGAGCGGUGCCCUUAAAGAUGCCCACGAGCACGUAGCGCUGUUCCGCAACAUCGAUGGCGGUAACAUAGGUCGAGUUCUCCGUUCUCCCAAAUAUUUGAGCCAAUCGACAACCGAGAAGGGGAAAGUGGAAAGUGUUAAUGUGUUGCCCAAAGCCAAUGUUGAGGGUGCAAUUUUGGAAGAUUACAAGUUCGCAUUGACCUUAAACAAUGGUCAAAAGAUUUAAACUGACCAUGUCGUCGUUGCAUGUCGGUUGGGACGCAAACACGUCUGUUGCUUUUGGUUUGGAAAUAGAGGAGAUUUUGGUGGUUAUCGAGUCAAUACCGAGCUUGAAGCACGAUCGAAUGUUUGGUUGGUUGGAGAUGUUACGUUCUUUUGUGAUAUCAAAUUGGGUCGCUGUUGUGUGGAACAUUAUCACCAUGCUGUUGUAUUAGGGCGAUUGGCUGGAGAGAACAAUACUGGCAAAGUAUCAUGGAUGAAAAACUGCAGUGCACUGUUACCAAGUGCAUUCUUCGUCGUAUUAUCAGUACGCAAUCGGUUGAUUGUGAUGUCGUGAUGUUACCGUUUGCCGUAUCGUUGAAGGCUGGGUCGAUCACUGGUGUACCGAUGUCUCCUGGGUAUAGCGGAUACCUAAGCACCACGCCGCCGCCUUACUACACAACGACAACAUUCGCAAGAACCGGUUACUACACCGAGGCACACAAUUACUACACCACCAAGGCUCCAGAGUAUUACACCGCAGCUGAUGCUGCCCCGAGUUACAUCAUCAAACGUACUACACCGAGGCUCCAACUUAUUACACCACCAAAGCGGCUGAAUACUACACCGAGCCGCCCAAGUACUACACCAACAAGGCUCCAGAGUAUUACACCACAACUUGUGCUUGCUUCCCCGAGCCGCUACACCGAAUCCCCGAAGUAUUACUCUGCCCUAAGCUACACAACUACGACUGAGGCGACCAAGUACUACGCAGCCCCAACUUCUACACAGCGGCUGCUCCUUCGUACUACGUUGAAUUGGAAUACUACACCUAGGCUUCAGUUUACUACACCACAACCUACGCUACACCUAGAUACUACACCGAGGCCCCUAUGUAACUACCAAGGCACCUGAGUAUUAUAACACUACUUACGCUGCUCCGACCAACUACACCGAAGCUCCGAAGUAUUACUCAAUCCGAGUUACAACACCACUAAGGCACCUGAAUAUUACACCACACCUUCCGCUUCUCCAACUUACUACAGGGACGUUCCUAAAUAUUAUAACUAUGUUCAGAUUUGUCGGUCAUAUCUUAAUAGUUACUAGUCACUGGGAAUUGUUGAUCUUUAAUAGGGAAAUCAAUUUUUUUAAAACCUGGGUGAUCAUUGUGUACGACUUCUCUUGCCACCUAAAAGCCCUAAGACGUUGCGACGAUUUCUUAUUUUUUUGGAUCUUUCCUAUUUCGCAUGUUGGAGGUGACCUAUUGCUCUAGUCGCUCUGUAUUCCGACAUAUUCUAGUGUUUGGACAAACUUCAUUUACAGGGCAAGUAACGAAAGAGACAUGUGGUGUUUACUAAAAAUUUUUAAUGUUACUAGCUCUGUUUUUAACAUUAGUUGGUGUAACAAAUGAGUUGCAGAUAGUGUAUGGUUUAUCACAUAAGUUUAUUUGAAGGGUCUGGAGUUGAUCAGUCUAUUGCCAAUAACUUAUGUAAAACUUCAAAGUUGUAAAAAAUAUACAAAUUUGAACUAAA